AUACGUAGGUGGCAAGCGUUGUCCGGAAUUACUGGGUGUAAAGGGAGCGCAGGCGGGAUAUCAAGUCAGCUGUGAAAUGUAGAUGCUCAACAUCUGCACUGCAGUUGAAACUGGUGUUCUUGAGUGCGUAAGAGGUAGGCGGAAUUCGUCGUGUAGCGGUGAAAUGCAUAGAUAUGACGAAGAACUCCGAUUGCGAAGGCAGCUUACUGGGCCGCAACUGACGCUGAAGCUCGAAGGUGCGGGUAUC
rnacentral:rRNA from 1 species